rnacentral:rRNA from 1 species
AUUGAACGCUGGCGGCAGGCCUAACACAUGCAAGUCGAACGGUAACAGGAGGCAGCUUGCUGCUUUGCUGACGAGUGGCGGACGGGUGAGUAAUGUCUGGGAAACUGCCUGAUGGAGGGGGAUACCUACUGGAAAGGGUAGCUAAUACCGCAUAACGUCGCAAGCCCAAGGAGGGGGACCUUCGGGCCUCUUGCAAUCGGAUGGGCCCAGAUGGGAUUAGCUAGUAGGUGGGGUAACGGCUCACCUAGGCGACGAUCCCUAGCUGGUCUGAGAGGAUGACCAGCCACACUGGAACUGAGACACGGUCCAGACUCCUACGGGAGGCAGCAGUGGGGAAUAUUGCACAAUGGGCGCAAGCCUGAUGCAGCCAUGCCGCGUGUAUGAAGAAGGCCUUCGGGUUGUAAAGUACUUUCAGCGGGGAGGAAGGGAGUAAAGUUAAUACCUUUGCUCAUUGACGUUACCCGCAGAAGAAGCACCGGCUAACUCCGUG